rnacentral:rRNA from 1 species
AACGAACGCUGGCGGCAGGCCUAAUACAUGCAAGUCGAACGCACCGCAAGGUGAGUGGCAGACGGGUGAGUAACGCGUGGGAACCUUCCUAGUAGUACGGAAUAACUCCGGGAAACCGGUGCUAAUACCGUAUAAGCCCUCCGGGGGAAGAUUAUCGCUACUAGAUGGGCCCGCGUCGGAUUAGCUUGUUGGUGAGGUAAUGGCGUCACCAAGGCGUUCCGAUCCGUAGCUGGUCUGAGAGGAUGA